rnacentral:rRNA from 1 species
UACAGAGGGGGCAAGCGUUGUUCGGAAUUACUGGGCGUAAAGGGCGCGUAGGCGGUCUGCUAAGUCGAACGUAAAAUCCCCGGGCUCAACCCGGGAACUGCGUCCGAUACUGGUUGGCUUGAAUCCGGGAGAGGGAUGCGGAAUUCCAGGUGUAGCGGUGAAAUGCGUAGAUAUCUGGAGGAACACCGGUGGCGAAGGCGGCAUCCUGGACCGGCAUUGACGCUGAGACGCGAAAGCGUGGGGAGCGAACAGG